AGCCGCGGUAACACCGGCGGCCCGAGUGGUGAUCGUGAUUAUUGGGUCUAAAGGGUCCGUAGCCGGUUGGUCAGUCCUCCGGGAAAUCUGAUAGCUCAACUAUUAGGGCUUUCGGGGGAUACUGCCAGACUUGGAACCGGGAGAGGUAAGAGGUACUACAGGGGGUAGGAGUGAAAUCUUGUAAUCCCUGUGGGACCACCUGUGGCGAAGGCGUCUUACCAGAACGGGUUCGACGGUGAGGGACGAAAGCUGGGGGCACGAACCGGAUUAGAUACCCGGGUAGUCCCAGCCGUAAACGAUGCUCGCUAGGUGUCAGGCAUGGCGCGACCGUGUCUGGUGCCGCAGGGAAGCCGUGAAGCGAGCCACCUGGGAAGUACGGCCGCAAGGCUGAAACUUAAAGGAAUUGGCGGGGGAGCACAACAACGGGUGGAGCCCUGCGGUUUAAUUGGACUCAACGCCGGACAACUCACCGGGGGCGACAGCAAUAUGUAGGCCAAGCUGAAGACUUUGCCUGAAUCGCUGAGAAGAGGUGCAUGG
rnacentral:rRNA from 1 species